UGCAGUCGAGCGGUAGGCCUUUCGGGGUACACGAGCGGCGAACGGGUGAGUAACACGUGGGUGAUCUGCCCUGCACUUCGGGAUAAGCCUGGGAAACUGGGUCUAAUACCGGAUAUGACYUCCURUYGCAUGRYKKGKGGUGGAAAGAUUUAUCGGUGCAGGAUGGGCCCGCGGCCUAUCAGCUUGUUGGUGGGGUAAUGGCCUACCAAGGCGACGACGGGUAGCCGACCUGAGAGGGUGACCGGCCACACUGGGACUGAGACACGGCCCAGACUCCUACGGGAGGCAGCAGUGGGGAAUAUUGCACAAUGGGCGAAAGCCUGAUGCAGCGACGCCGCGUGAGGGAUGACGGCCUUCGGGUUGUAAACCUCUUUCAGCAGGGACGAAGCGCAAGUGACGGUACCUGCAGAAGAAGCACCGGCUAACUACGUGCCAGCAGCCGCGGUAAUACGUAGGGUGCAAGCGUUGUCCGGAAUUACUGGGCGUAAAGAGUUCGUAGGCGGUUUGUCGCGUCGUUUGUG
rnacentral:rRNA from 1 species